AUCGACGACGGCCGGCAGCCAGCGGUCGGCCGGCCGCGAGGCGGCGCGCGUGGUCGCCGAGGAGCCGCCCAAGCCGGUGAUCGUGCACGGCGUGACGCCGCGCGCCGACGACGCGCCGCCGCGGCCCGGGCCCGACUACUUCUUCGACCCGACCACACAGGCCAACCUGAUCCCGCUGCAUCAGUACAUCCUGGAGCAGGCGAAGCUUUCCGGGUACCGGUUCGGCGACGCGCUGGCCGACGACCGGGAGAGCUGGCGCAGCGAGGACUCUGGUCCGGCCGACGACUCGGACGAGUUCGCCGACGACGAAGGCGUCAGCAACGCCGACUCGUCCGGCCUGGACGACUACCUGGAGGAGGACGACCGCUACCAGAACUUCAUUCUGCCGCCGCACCUGCGCCACCGACAAAAGCUGAACGGGCGGUCCGAGUCGGACCUGGUGGACGGCAGCGCCGGCGG